rnacentral:rRNA from 1 species
GACGGAGGGGGCUAGCGUUGUUCGGAAUCACUGGGCGUAAAGGGCGCGUAGGCGGCUUUGUAAGCCAGACGUGAAAUCCCGGGGCUUAACCCCGGAGCUGCGUUUGGAACUGCGAAGCUUGAGUCUCGGAGAGGAUGGUGGAAUUCUGAGUGUAGAGGUGAAAUUCGUAGAUAUUCAGAGGAACACCGAUGGCGAAGGCAGCCAUCUGGACGAGUACUGACGCUGAGGCGCGAAAGCGUGGGGAGCAAACAGG